AAACGCCGAGCGGAUGCAAAAUUGCAACACAGUCAGAUUUCACGCGACGAGCAGCUGACAGCGGAACCGGGAGCAUUUAAGCAACGCCAUCGGCGGUACCGGAGCGCCCGUGCCUCCGUGCGUUAAGAUGCAGUCAGACGGGAGCGAGACCAGCCGACGCUGAGAUCCAAAGGCAUGCCAAUAAAGUGAGAGGAAACCCGGGGACGCUCGUGCGAUCCGGCGGCUGUCCUCGCGGGGUAAACCGGGGCAGGAAUCAGUGCACGAGAGGGGCAUUUACACCACGAUGUGCCCCUCGAACACAGCCGCUUCUUCCUAGCAUGUUUGUCCGCAUUUUCCAGCGUUUUUCCUGCCUCUCUCUCCCUCUCAUCUCCCUCUCCUGCCGGCGCAACAACGCCACUCAGUUGUAGUUGGAAAUAGUUUGAGUUUAUAAGGAAUAUACAGGUUGUUUUUCAGGCGUUGUUAGAAAGAUUUACAUAAGAAAAAUUGCUUUAUGGUAGUUUUUGAUUGUUAGCUUAUUUAUGUAUGCACUGGUAUUUUUUAAUGAACACAGUGUGAUUGACAGCUGUCAAAAUCUGCUCAUUGUUUUUCACAAUGUGAGACUAUAUUAUAUGGAAAUAGAUACUUUGCUAAAACAAAAAAAAAUUAAAUAACCCCUAUAUUAUUAUUAUUUAAACUAAAGAGAUAUGCCAUGUGUUAAAGUACAUCUACACAAACCUAUAUCAGAACAAAUGUCAAUGCUUGAAGUAGAUCUGUGCACUAAUUCAGUAUUAUUAGUAUAUGUGUAUAUUCCAAAUGAAUCUGUCUCGGCAUAAAUAUAGGCCUGUUUGGUGAUGUGCAUUAGGACAUGUGACCUGUCAAGGUCAUGAGCUGACAGCCACCCCAUUUAAUGUCCUGUUCAUUGUGUUGUGCUCUAAAUAGACUGUUUAAUUGAACGUGACAGUGUAUGUAAGCAUGUGUGCUCAUGAUUCUGCUGAUAUACUAACAAUCGGAGGCUUUCAAAUCCAUUAACCUCAACGUACCGUCUAGCUUUAGCAGAUGGAGUGCUUCUAUUUGUGUUAAAAUAAAUGGUAUAACAAUCCUGAGUCUGUUUAAGAACUUUAUCAAGACUUAAUUUGAAUGUAUGAAUCAAAACCACACACACACUGUGGUUUAGUGGUGUUUUCUGGGCUUUGGUGAUUAGUUGUUUAACUACAGUAGUUCUUUGAAAAUACAUGAGCGGUAUUUUCAAUUUUAAACUGUUAGUUAUGCACUUUAUUUAAAUUAAAACUUUGAAUUAAUCAUUUGUUGAUAGUGCCACUCUUGUAACCAUCACUGAAUACUUCAUGUAAAAUAAACUGUUUAUUUAUAUAAUAAAUGUAACAUUUAUUUAUGUUGACUAUAA
rnacentral:lncRNA from 1 species